rnacentral:rRNA from 1 species
UAGUAGCGGCGAGCGAGCGGGAAGAGCUCAAAUUUAUAAUCUGGCACCUUCGGUGUCCGAGUUGUAAUCUCUAGAAGUGUUUUCCGCGUUGGACCGCACACAAGUCUGUUGGAAUACAGCGGCAUAGUGGUGAAACCCCCGUAUAUGGUGCGGACGCCCAGCGCUUUGUGAUACACUUUCAAUGAGUCGAGUUGUUUGGGAAUGCAGCUCAAAUUGGGUGGUAAAUUCCAUCUAAAGCUAAAUAUUGGCGAGAGACCGAUAGCGAACAAGUACCGUGAGGGAAAGAUGAAAAGCACUUUGGAAAGAGAGUUAACAGUACGUGAAAUUGUUGGAAGGGAAACGCUUGAAGUCAGACUUGCUUGCCGGAGCUUGCUUCGGUUUGCAGGCCAGCAUCAGUUUUCCGGGGUGGAUAAUGACGGUUUGAAGGUAGCAGUCUCGGCUGUGUUAUAGCUUUCCGUUGGAUACGCCCUGGGGGACUGAGGAACGCAGCGUGCUUUUUGCGAAAGACUCGUCUUUUUCACGCUUAGGAUGCUGGUGGAAUGGCUUUAAACGACCCGUCUUGAAACCACGGAC